GGCUUCAUGGUCGAGUGGUAAAUACACUUGCCUCUCAUUCUGGAGUGCCUGGUUCGAUUCCCCGGUCGAGAAGCUA